GGACUACACGGGUUUCUAAUCCUGUUUGCUCCCCACGCUUUCGCGUCUGAGCGUCAGUCACCGUCCAGAAGGCCGCCUUCGCUACCGGUAUUCCUCCCAGUAUCUACGGAUUUCACCCCUACACUGGGAAUUCUGCCUUCCUCUCCGGGACUCUAGCUAGGUAGUUUCGGUCGCAAUUCCAGGGUUAAGCCCGGGGAUUUCACAACCGACUUGCCAAGCCGCCUACACGCGCUUUACGCCCAGUAAUUCCGAACAACGCUUGCACCCUCCGUAUUACCGCGGCGGCUGGCAC
rnacentral:rRNA from 1 species